AUUUUGGACAAUGGGGGCAACCCUGAUCCAGCCAUCCCGCGUGUGCGAUGAAGGCCUUCGGGUUGUAAAGCACUUUUGGCAGGGAAGAAACAGCCUGGGCGAAUACCCUGGGCGACUGACGGUACCUGCAGAAUAAGCACCGGCUAACUACGUGCCAGCAGCCGCGGUAAUACGUAGGGUGCAAGCGUUAAUCGGAAUUACUGGGCGUAAAGCGUGGACAGGCGGGUCGGAAAGAAAGGUGUGAAAUCCCAGGGCUUAACCUUGGAACUGCACUUUUAACUGCCGGGCUAGAGUACGUCAGAGGGGGGUAGAAUUCAACGUGUAGCAGUGAAAUGCGUAGAGAUGUGGAGGAAUACCGAUGGCGAAGGCAGCCCCCUGGGAUGAUACUGACGCUCAUGCACGAAAGCGUGGGGAGCAAACAGG
rnacentral:rRNA from 1 species